rnacentral:rRNA from 1 species
UACGUAGGGGGCAAGCGUUGUCCGGAUUUAUUGGGCGUAAAGGGCGUGUAGGCGGCUAGGUAGGUCCGUUGGGAAAACUCGAGGCUCAACCUCGAGACGCCGAUGGAAACCAUCUGGCUAGAGUCCGGAAGAGGAGAGUGGAAUUCCUGGUGUAGCGGUGAAAUGCGCAGAUAUCAGGAAGAACACCCGUGGCUAAGGCGGCUCUCUAGUACGGUACUGACGCUGAGACGCGAAAGCGUGGGGAGCGAACAGG